UACGGAGGGUGCAAGCGUUAUCCGGAUUUACUGGGUUUAAAGGGUGCGUAGGUGGGUAGGUAAGUCAGUGGUGAAAUCUUCGAGCUUAACUCGGAAACUGCCAUUGAUACUAUUUAUCUUGAAUACUUUGGAGGUAAGCGGAAUAUGUCAUGUAGCGGUGAAAUGCUUAGAUAUGACAUAGAACACCAAUUGCGAAGGCAGCUUACUACAGGGAUAUUGACACUGAGGCACGAAAGCGUGGGGAUCAAACAGG
rnacentral:rRNA from 1 species